GUGAGUUGCCGGGGACGGGCGAGCUUGCUGCCGGCCGCCCACGAUAUGGAGGGGCGGCUGCCGUCCGUGAGGGAGCGGAGGAGUCGUCGCCAUUCGCCAGGGGGCCGGAGCCUGCUGCUUCCGCGAUUGAGUCCGGAAAACUUAUUCUGGAACAACAGUCUGUGCUGUGAGAUGAGAACAGAGACACACUGAGCUUUAACCACUAACCAUCGACCAACUGCUGACUGAUGAGAAAACAUCAUUAGCUCCUGAGAGACAAAGACAAACUGAACCACAGUGAUCUGAACUGAAGACAGCGACUGUAACACAUUUCAGUUUCAUUCAGCAACAUGAACGUUGAAAAUCAGACCUUGAUGGAUGAACUUGAUCAUCCUACUGAUUAUUAUGACAAUAGUGUCCCUAGUGAUUCAGAUAUCAGAAGGAGUAUCUUCUUCAUCGCUAGUGUUUGUGUUGGUCUGCCAGCUCUGGUUUGGGCUUUUCGUCUUCUGCACCUUCACAGAAAGAUCAGAGGCCGAAUCUCAGUCUUCAUCUUCCUCCUCCUCCUCAAUGACCUGAUACAAUUGCCCCUUCAUCUAUAUAUAGUGACGGGGUUUCUGACAGAAUUCAGAUACUUUAUCCUUGAGCUUGUUCAGUUUUGGUUGGGAUUACAUUGGUGUGGUUUUCAUCUGCAUCAGCUGGUGGCUCUGGAGGGGAUUUUGACUCUGAAAUAUCCGCUUUGUUCUGCUCGUAUUUUCUCAAUGCCCUGUUACAUCAUAAUCUCCAUCCUUGUGCUUUUUUUUUCUAUAGUGAGUGCAUUAUUUAUUUUCCCGCGUUCACAAAAUACAAACAUGUCUUUAUUCAGUCUCAGCACAAGUGUUGUUCCUCUGAUCGUAUUGGCUGUAUCAUCUACAAUCAGCUGUAAAGCCUCUUCCACUCCUGUCAGAAAAAACAGUUCAGUGCUCACUGUUGCUAUUCUUACAUUUGUUAUGAUGUACUUACCUUUCAUGUUCCUCAUCUGUGUGGAUUUACUUUUACAUUUAUAUCCAUAUGUCAACCCAUCUUGGUUGGUAAUGUCUUUCUGUUUGAUGAGUUUGAGAGUGUUUUCAGACUCUAUUCUGUGUGUUUUGGUCUGCAGAGAAAAUCUCAGAGAUGUUCAGACGCCACAAACACACACAGAACCCAACGCUGAUGAGACGUCAGUCUGAACUUGAGUUUCAUUAGUCCUCACGCCUGAAUCUGGCUUCAAAACAAAGUAAAAUUGACCUGUAAAAUGAAAAUACAGUUUUCUUUCUUACCACUAGGGAUGCUUGGGUGUUUUAGGUUUCUUUAAGUAAAGCCAUGUGGAGAGAGUUAGCAUUAGCAAGCUGUAGUAGCCAGCAUGGCUCACCUGCUGAAAACAUUGUGCUGUGUCCUGGUUGGGAAAUGUAUCAUUUCAAGCCAAGUUUUUUUUUUUUUUUUUUUCUAUUGAAAUUAUUGUUGCAGAUAUCCUAUGUUUGGAUUGAUGCUAAGAGUGUAAUACAGUGCAUUUGUAUGUAUUUUAGAAGGACUCUUUAUUGGUGAGGUUAACACAUUAUGGUUCAGUUUGAAUAUGGAUUUAAUGUUCUUUUUCGACAUGGGACCAUAGUAUUGUUUGAUUGUUCCUGGUUAGGAAGAGUCUGAUGCUUGAGAGCUGUGGUUUAAAAGAGUUUGGAAUAUUUGUUUGCUAUCAGCCAACUUCAGCUAUGACAGUGGUUCUCACUUACAGUCCUUGAACUCCACUUCUCUGCACAUUUUGUUUCUCAAAACAUGUUUCUCUUAUUGCUUCAAACGCUUGAUUCCAGUUCGAAGCGAAUAAAUUCAUGCACAGAGCUCACUUCUAACAGGCUUAUAUUCUGAAUCAGGUGUGUUAACAAAGAAAGAAAAUGUGCAGAGCUAGAACUGAGAACCACUGAGCUAUGGACAGUGUUUGGAAUUUGAUGCACUGCAAAUAAGACAAAAUCCUACAAUCUUACAUUGAUUUGUUUCGUUUUUUGAGUUUUUUUUUACUUUUGUGUUCAUUUGUGUUACAUUUUCGGCUAUAUGUUGCUGUAUUA